AGAUAGGUGUCUGAGCGGUUUAAAGAGUAUGCUUGGAAGGCAUAUGUAGAUAAUAUCUACCAUGGGUUCAAAUCCCAUCCUAUCUGCCA
rnacentral:tRNA from 1 species